CCUUAGUUGUGUGCUUUUUUUGCUUCAUAGGUUACUGAUGGAGAGAGAUUGCCUUUAGCUGUUAAGGAGAUGGGAACUUGUGAUCUUUAUCCUCAAGGAGUUAUCACUAAACAAAUGACUGCAAUAGAAGAAAUGGUUGCAAGUGAGUACAAUUAGCCAGACCCUCAUCUUUGUGACAAGAUCUUGAAGUUAGUCAUUUGUGAAGCGUUCUAGUUUGCUAUUAGUUGCAGUUUUAGUUAUUGCUCUCUCAAUAUAUUCUUUUUCUUUUUUUUUUUCAAAGGAUGAUCAGUGUAAUAAUUAAGCUUCAUAAUUUCUGUGUUUGGAUCCAAGUUGUAUAUAAAUGUACACAUUAUUAGGAUUUCAUUUUGUAUA